CCUACGGGAGGCAGCAGUGAGGAAUAUUGGUCAAUGGGCGCAAGCCUGAACCAGCCAAGUAGCGUGAGGGAUGAAGGUCCUAUGGGUUGUAAACCUCUUUUGCCCGGGGGUAAGACCCUCCACGUGUGGCGGGCAGCAGGUUCCCCGCGGAUAAGGCCUCGGCUAACUCCGUGCACGAAGCCGCGGUAUUACGGAGGACGCGAGCGUUACCCGGAUUUAUUGGGUUUAAAGGGUGCGUAGGCGGGCGGUCAAGCCAGCUGUAAAAUCGCGGGGCUCACCCGCGGCCCGCCGUUGAAACUGGACGCCUUGAGUGCACAACAGGCAGGCGGAAUGCGUGGUGUAGCGGUGAAAUGCAUAGAUAUCACGAGGAACCCCGAUUGCGAAGGCAGCCUGCCGGGGUGCGACUGACGCUGAGGCUCGAAGGUGCGGGUAUCGAACAGGAUUAGAUACCCUUGUAGUC
rnacentral:rRNA from 1 species